GGGAGAGAGAGUAAGAGAGAGAAAGAGAGAGGUGCAAGAGAAAGAAAGAGCGAAAAUGGAAGAAACAGAGAGGCUAUGAUAGAGAAAAAGCGAGAGGAAGAGAUGAGCAUUUCCGUUUCAAAGAGAGAAAAAAGGAAAAAAACGGUUUCAAAAAAAAAAAGAUGACAUCAAUUUCAGUCUUAUCAAAUCAGGAAAUCAAUAUCAACCUUUCAGUCAGAAUAAUAUAGGUGCAAAAGAAUUUCUGUACCAUGGUCGUCCUGAAAUCAGGAUAGGAUAUGCC
rnacentral:misc_RNA from 1 species